UUUAUGGAGAGUUUGAUCCUGGCUCAGGAUGAACGCUGGCGGCGUGCCUAAUACAUGCAAGUCGAGCGAACGGACGAGAAGCUUGCUUCUCUGAUGUUAGCGGCGGACGGGUGAGUAACACGUGGAUAACCUACCUAUAAGACUGGGAUAACUUCGGGAAACCGGAGCUAAUACCGGAUAAUAUUUUGAACCGCAUGGUUCAAAAGUGAAAGACGGUCUUGCUGUCACUUAUAGAUGGAUCCGCGCUGCAUUAGCUAGUUGGUAAGGUAACGGCUUACCAAGGCAACGAUGCAUAGCCGACCUGAGAGGGUGAUCGGCCACACUGGAACUGAGACACGGUCCAGACUCCUACGGGAGGCAGCAGUAGGGAAUCUUCCGCAAUGGGCGAAAGCCUGACGGAGCAACGCCGCGUGAGUGAUGAAGGUCUUCGGAUCGUAAAACUCUGUUAUUAGGGAAGAACAUAUGUGUAAGUAACUGUGCACAUCUUGACGGUACCUAAUCAGAAAGCCACGGCUAACUACGUGCCAGCAGCCGCGGUAAUACGUAGGUGGCAAGCGUUAUCCGGAAUUAUUGGGCGUAAAGCGCGCGUAGGCGGUUUUUUAAGUCUGAUGUGAAAGCCCACGGCUCAACCGUGGAGGGUCAUUGGAAACUGGAAAACUUGAGUGCAGAAGAGGAAAGUGGAAUUCCAUGUGUAGCGGUGAAAUGCGCAGAGAUAUGGAGGAACACCAGUGGCGAAGGCGACUUUCUGGUCUGUAACUGACGCUGAUGUGCGAAAGCGUGGGGAUCAAACAGGAUUAGAUACCCUGGUAGUCCACGCCGUAAACGAUGAGUGCUAAGUGUUAGGGGGUUUCCGCCCCUUAGUGCUGCAGCUAACGCAUUAAGCACUCCGCCUGGGGAGUACGACCGCAAGGUUGAAACUCAAAGGAAUUGACGGGGACCCGCACAAGCGGUGGAGCAUGUGGUUUAAUUCGAAGCAACGCGAAGAACCUUACCAAAUCUUGACAUCCUUUGACAACUCUAGAGAUAGAGCCUUCCCCUUCGGGGGACAAAGUGACAGGUGGUGCAUGGUUGUCGUCAGCUCGUGUCGUGAGAUGUUGGGUUAAGUCCCGCAACGAGCGCAACCCUUAAGCUUAGUUGCCAUCAUUAAGUUGGGCACUCUAAGUUGACUGCCGGUGACAAACUGGAGGAAGGUGGGGAUGACGUCAAAUCAUCAUGCCCCUUAUGAUUUGGGCUACACACGUGCUACAAUGGACAAUACAAAGGGCAGCGAAACCGCGAGGUCAAGCAAAUCCCAUAAAGUUGUUCUCAGUUCGGAUUGUAGUCUGCAACUCGACUACAUGAAGCUGGAAUCGCUAGUAAUCGUAGAUCAGCAUGCUACGGUGAAUACGUUCCCGGGUCUUGUACACACCGCCCGUCACACCACGAGAGUUUGUAACACCCGAAGCCGGUGGAGUAACCUUUUAGGAGCUAGCCGUCGAAGGUGGGACAAAUGAUUGGGGUGAAGUCGUAACAAGGUAGCCGUAUCGGAAGGUGCGGCUGGAUCACCUCCUUU
rnacentral:rRNA from 1 species